GGACCUUGUGGCUCUGCACAGCUCCUGACAGGAGGGGACAGCUGGGGGGUCGGGCUCUGCUUCCAGGGAACAGGGACAGGAGCAGAGGGAAUGGCCUCAGGUCACACCAGGGGGGGCUUAGAGUGGAUAUUAGGGGAAAUUUCUUCAUUGGAAGGAUGGUGAAGUGUGGAUAGAUAGAAGGCAGGAGACUAGAGAUAGUGGUGUAAGUAAUCUCACCCCUAAGGAGUUACAGCUGUGCUAAUUAUCAAGCAUUAAGAACAAGCCUGCCCUUAAUAGGCCACAGCUGGAUCCAAUUAAGAGGGGACUUAUAAAAGAGCAGGUUGGGUGCUCGAGAGGGGAGGUGGAGUUUGUUGGCUGUGCUGAGAAGAAGAAAGAGUCAGUGCUGUGAGGAGCUGCUCAUAAGAAAUCUCUGAGAAGGUUGCCCUCUGCUGUAGCACUUCCAUGUGGGCUGGGAAUCAGCAAGGAAAUAUUGCUUUUCCAUAGAAGUUGACACUUAUUCUUACAAACAGGCACACAAAUCCCAAGCCAGAAAGUACACCUUGGUUUUCUAAAGGAAAUAUGCUGUGGUGAAGAACAAGGUGAUCUCCCAGCAGCGUGUGUUUGUGGAAGGGAUCAGAGCAGAGCUGCCGUGCACCAAAGGCCCUUGGGACAGAAAGUGAAAGCAAAUGCUGGGGACACUCACAGAAGGUGCUUUGGGCCCUGCCUGAAUGAGGCAGGAUGCAAGGCAGCAUUGUGGGACAGCCCCAGAAGAAAAUCCAAAUGCUGGAGCACUGCUAGGAGUAGUGAGGAGCAGCAUCCCCAGAGGCUGUGAUGAAACAGAGAUGCAAGGAGAGGAGCCAUCUCCUCCCUGGGAUAAAGGAGCAGGGAUGGACACCUUCCCUUGGACAAGCUGCUCCACAAAACCAUCCCAGGAAGCAGAGAGGGCUUGGCUGGGGUGAAGCAGCUCCAUGUCAGCCCAGCAGCCCCGUGGGGCCUGAGUCGUGUGCAGGAGCAGAUCUCAAGGGCUGACACUCCUCAGAAAUGCCAGCUGGUGUCAGGAAAGCGUUCAACAGCCUUUGUUCUGUGCCUAGAUGGAUGUGCCUUGAGGUGCCCUGACUUGCCCACAGAAAUCCCACUGCUACUCAAAGCAGAGCCUUUGGGUAAACAUGGGCAAACCCAACGUGUUCAGGGGAACUUCUGGGGCUAGAGGGACACACAUGCUCACAUCCAGAGAGUGCUCCUAGGUACACAUUCCUUACCUCCCCCUCCAUGGAGUUUGGACUGAUUUAUGUAUCUCUUCUCUCUGUCACUUGCAUCCCACUCUUUUAUUCCUUUUCUAGGAUCUCCUGCUGCAGUGAUAUUUCUGAUCACUAUUAAAAGAUGUGUAAACUCUUUGUGGGGGAAAUGGGUCAGCUGGUUUAGAUAAUUUUGAAAAUAUUUCUCUAGGGCAGAGGAAAUACAGGCUUUACACCAGCACUGGUGCUUGUGUGACUGAGGCCUUUAGGAGCAAAGCUUGGGCUGAAUGCCUUGUUCUGCUGAUUUGAACCAAAAAGUAGAUCACUGAAUCACUAAAUCAUGGAAUAUCCUGAGUUAGAAGGGAUGCAGUCCAACUCCUUGCCCUGCACAGGACAACCCAAGAAUCCCCCCGUGCUUCUGUUGUCCAAAUGCUUCUGGUGAUGGUCCACAACGUGCAGCCGUGAGCUGGGACAGUGCUUGGCUGCCACGGAGGCUGGAGAUGAAGUUGCCAGGGAAUUUUUGCAGCCUCCUGAAUGAAAAGUGUGUGUAACAUCAGUAAAACUGUGCUUCAAAGAGAAGGGGGUCAGAGCAGGCAGGUGGGGGCACAGCAACACCACCAAGAGAACGAUGCUGGGGCAAGGACAUGGAAGGGUGGGAUUUGUCUGCUCUUGGGGUGGCAAUGCCAGAGCAAGGUAGGAAGCAGCAUGGGAGGCUUCAAAACAGGUUACCAAGAAGAUCUUGCUGAUUGUAAAGAGUUUUAAAACCAUAGAUACCUGGGAGAAGAGAGAAUGGCUAUUUGUGGGAAUACAGAGCAGGAGUUAGUCACAAGGCAAAGCAGAGAUUCUGUGGGUUAUGACCCUGACCCUGAACUCCACCAAACUCCCGGGUGACUCUUGCAGCCUGCACCCUGCCCUGGCAUAGCCUGCCAGUCUCCAGCAUGACUCAGCUACAGGAUUUACCAGGAAAGCACACACAAAAAAUUAGGUGGACACAUUGCCCCAGUGUCAAGUACCAGCACCUUUCCCAGAUCCACCUCUGCCAUUCAGAGCUCAUUUGCAGAAGAGUUUGAUGGUGAGCUCUGUAAUCCUGGGGGCAGUGCAGGGGGGCUGUCAGGCACUGUGCUCCUGUCCCACCUCAGGCUUGGGAACAGGGUGGUUGUCCUGCAGGGGACAGCCACCUCUCCCAGGAAGGAGGAACACACACUCCUCCAUGCUCUUAAAAACUGGAACUCGGUCCCCAAAUGUUUGUCUCACCAGGGCACGUGAAAUGAUUUCCUGAGUGGUGUUUCCCUGGGGACAGUUGGGUUAAACAGUAAUUGAUGGGAUGAUAUGUGGUGUCAUGUCUUAUCAGCAGGCAGAGCUGGGAGCAGGGGUGGACAAGGAAGUCGGGGCUGAGGAUGACUUCUGUGGAAAUCACAAAUCUGAGUGUGCAAACAGUUCCAUGUUUAGUAAAUACCCAACUGAUGGAGUCAUAGGAUUUAUAGAAGAGGUGGAGGGAGCAGUGGCACGUACAUGAGGAGGUGGAUGAAAAUCUUGACCCAGAAUAGAAUAAUAAUGCAAAAACUUACAACCAGCAGCCACAACAGCUUUCAGGGCCUUCUUCUCCUAUUGGAUUACUUAAUUAUUAUUUCAGAAUCUAAUUGCCACCCUUGGAGCUAUUCCAUAGGAUCACUGAACCUCAUCCUAAUCUAGGUUGGUGGUAGGUCACUACCUUACACAGCCCUACCACUCAAGGUCCCUUUGGUUCAGAGGGGAGAUAAGACAGCCACAGGAUGCUGGCUUUACAGCUGAGGUACAGUUAUCACAGUUAGUACUGUAACAACUAAUUGACUUAUUUUUCCAACUCUGUCAAAGGUGAUGGUAGGUCUUGGACAGGUAGUUUAGAAUUUCCUUCGUCAGUUCUGGGGAAAACACUUUGAUGUAGCUGAUCAGAAAUAGCAUUGUGGUGCUGGGAUGUGGAAGAAGCUCCGGAGCGAUCCUGUUGGGGGGACAACACCUCCUAGGCAAACACCAGAAUCCUUUAUAAGGUAACCAAGGGAAGGAGAACAGGAGCAUCUGCCUCCAGUGUGAGACCUGCCCGACCUGUGCACGGAGAUGGAGAGUUCAUGCAGAUGGAGAGAUUGAGCCCGUGCUGCAGAGAAUUCAGCCCUUUGGUUGCACAUCGGACCAGCAGAGGCUCACCCUGACAUCUGAACUUACAGCAGCUAUUUGGCCACCCCACACAGGGUCCCCAGGAAGCACCACCCCGAGGCUGCCCCAGCUGUGGCACUGCUGAGGGAUCACUGCAGGGAGCCCUGGGCUCCAGGCAUUGUCCUCCCCCUCCGUGGGGAUCCGUGGGUGUGUGACCUGCAACCCUGCUCUUUAUUUUGGGGAGUCCAUCCCCUCCUCCAAGACACGGGGAUUCAUCUCCCCGAGGUCAUGCCCCACCUCUCCUCGCUGAGUUAGUUCUGAGGUGUUUCAUAAUUUGCACACAAGGAAAAUACACACUGAGUUUGGCUGCUGCAAGUGAACUGAGUUAUUUUCAUGUCAACAAAGCACCCACAUCCUUACCCAGAAAGACCACAACGAUCCUGAUCAUAGAACAAACGGGCAAACAUUUGGUUGAGUUAAUGAGCAGUGAAAUGGCUCUGGUAAUGAGGAUUGUUGUGAGAGCUCACACCAGGGCUAUGACACAAUCCCACAGCACUGCUCUCGUGUGCCUGGAGGAACAUGAAUGCAGCCUCGCCAGUGAAAGCUGGACACCCACACACACAGGUGAAAGAGAAAUUCACUUGGACUAAGUCCUAAAGGUGUUUUGCCUUUGGGUGGCAGUCAAAAGGGCUUGUCAGGCAAUGCUGAAGGCAAACAAAGAGAAAUUGACCAUUGCAAGGUCUUCAAAACAUCUUUUAAAGGAGGACCUUGGAGGAUUUGUAGUGGCUGAUGAAGUCCUUGUGGUCCUGAAGGAAGAGCAGGCCAGCAUGAACAGGCAGCAAAUUCUGGCAGAAAAAAUAUGGAAGUGUGAAGGGAAUCUGAUUCAGAAAGGAAGAGGGGAAGAGAAGGGAAGAAAACUGAGGGCAAAGUGUUGACAGUCAUGGCAGGGAGGAGCAGAAGAGCUGAAGGAACCAGCUUCCCUGCCCCAACAAAAAGUCACUUUUUGCCCAAAGGCUGGCAAGGAACUGACGUGAGAACCCAAAGGAGUGCAUCACAGCAAGUUCCCAGUGAAGUUCCCAGUCCAUGCCUCCAGCAUUUUUUCAGAUUUAGGGAGCCCAGGCAUCAGGCUGUGCUGUGCUGGGGGAGCUGCAGGGUUUCACAGUGAAUCCCACACAGAUAAUUUGAGUGGCAAGGCAAGUCUGGAGGCAAAUACACCUUAAAAAGGAAAGGCACAAGCAGGUGCCUUGAGAAAACAAGCACAUCCAGGAAGAAACAGCCGUUGCCAACCUUUCCAUAAAAUGCAAAUAUUCCUUCUUCCACGGAGGUGUCAGGAAUUAUA